rnacentral:miRNA from 1 species
AUAUGGAUCACCUGGAGUCUUGUGAAAAUGCAGAUUCUGAUUGAGUGUGUCAGAUGAGGCCUGAGGCUCUGCAUGUUUAUCAAGUUUCCACAUGAAGCUGAG